UACGUAGGUGGCGAGCGUUGUCCGGAUUUACUGGGCGUAAAGGGAGCGUAGGCGGACUUUUAAGUGAGAUGUGAAAUACCCGGGCUCAACUUGGGUGCUGCAUUUCAAACUGGAAGUCUAGAGUGCAGGAGAGGAGAAUGGAAUUCCUAGUGUAGCGGUGAAAUGCGUAGAGAUUAGGAAGAACACCAGUGGCGAAGGCGAUUCUCUGGACUGUAACUGACACUGAGGCGCGAAAGCGUGGGGAGCAAACAGGAUUAGAUACCCCGGUAGU
rnacentral:rRNA from 1 species